UCAUGUAGAUGACUGUUAGCACCUUCUUACUGACUCCCCUGGUUCGCGAUCAUCUUAUGAUGUCCCUUCGUCCCUGUAAGUUACGAUGACCUAACACGUGGACCAUCAGGUUUGAAUGUGGUCUACUGGCCACUGGUUGAAGGGACGGAGAUGUUCGAGGAGCUCCUACUGAACCACCAUCGACCCUAGGGGAUUUCGCCGGUUUAGGACCACGUGGGUCGGCGGCGAGCACUAGGGGAGAGGAAGUCGAGGUGAAGCGCCGUGACAGUCAGGUGUCCUCAUCCCCGUCCACGGGUAGUUGUUUUUCCUUGUUUGCCAUAUACGAACCUUUGAAUUUUAAGACAUGUGUAAACCCUUUGUAUACAAUAUCGAAGAAAGUUUCAAGUUUUGUCUACCAUGUCCUUCAUGUACAUAAGUACACCCACGAACUUUCAAGACAUGUCCUUAUCCGGCUACUAAAAACACGAUACUUAUUAUACUAAAUACAUGUACAUAAUAUACACACCUUUGUUAAAGACACUCUACUACUUUCCUUUUUA
rnacentral:rRNA from 1 species